rnacentral:rRNA from 1 species
AUGAAUGAGCCAAACAUUGGUGCAUUGGCCUCUUAUGAUGUUGCUAUAUUCCCUCCUGGUCGUUGCUCGGAUCCAUUUGGAGUAACAAAGUGCACCUCUGGGGACUCUAGUGUGGAACCAUACAUGGCAGUUCAUAAUACCCUUUUGGCGCAUGCAUCGGUUGUCAGUCUGUACAGAAAAAAAUAUCAAGCCAUGCAAAAAGGAGCUGUUGGCAUAAGUAUUUACUCUUUCUGGAGUUAUCCAUUGACAAAUUCCACUGUGGAUUUAGAAGCAACUAGGAGAUGUAUAGAUUUCUACUUCGGCUGGAUACUAGAUCCGUUGGUGUUUGGGGACUACCCGCAAGUAAUGAAGAAGAAUGUUGGCUCUCGCCUUCCACCCUUCACGGAAGUUCAGUCUGAACUUAUCAAGGGUUCUUUAGAUUUUAUUGGAAUAAAUCACUACUACUCUCUGUACGUGAAUGAUCGCCCUCUGGAAACAGGCGUUCAAGACUACAAAGCAGACAUAUCAGUUAGUUUAAGGGGUUCUAGGAUAGAUCCACCAUCUAGUCAGGGCUUCCCAGUAAAUGUUCCAAGUGAUCCCAAAGGGCUGCAGCUUCAACUGGAGUACCUGAAAGAAACCUACGGAAACCUUCCGGUCUAUGUCCAGGAGAAUGGUAUGGGUUCUGCCGACGACAGCCUAGAUGACACGGACAGGGUCGGUUACCUGAGCAGCUACAUGGAAAGCACACUAAACGCAAUGAGGAACGGGGCGGACGUGAGAGGGUACUUCGCGUGGGCAUUCAUGGACCUGUUCGAACUCCUGUCCGGGUACCAGUUGAGGUAUGGGCUGUACCGCGUCGACUUUGCCAACGGGAGGCGGCCGCGGCAGGCCAGGCUCUCGGCUCGCUGGUACUCCGGCUUCCUCAAGCACAACGGAACCUCUGCGCUCGCGCCGAGAACGACGCAGAUGAACCAGGCGCUGAACUUGUUGUCCUGA